rnacentral:rRNA from 1 species
CGGCGCCACGAGUGGUGAUCAUAGUUAUUGGGCCUAAAGCGUCCGUAGCCGGUCUGAUAAAUCUUUUGUGAAAUCGUUGUGCUUAACAUAACGGCGUGCAGAAGAGACUGUCAGACUAGGAACCGGGAGGAGUCAGAGGUAUUCCAGGGGGAGCGGUAAAAUGUUAUAAUCCCUGGAGGACCACCUGUGGCGAAGGCGUCUGACUAUAACGGUUUCGACGGUGAGGGACGAAAGCCAGGGGAGCAAUCCGGAUUAGAUACCCGAGUAGUCC